GAGUUUGAUCUUGGCUCAGAUUGAACGCUGGCGGCAUGCCUUACACAUGCAAGUCGAACGGCAGCACGGGAGCUUGCUCCUGGUGGGCGAGUGGCGAACGGGUGAGUAAUGCAUCGGAACGUAUCCUGGAGUGGGGGAUAACGUAGCGAAAGUUACGCUAAUACCGCAUAUUCUGUGAGCAGGAAAGCGGGGGACCUUCGGGCCUCGCGCUCUUGGAGCGGCCGAUGUCGGAUUAGCUAGUUGGUGAGGUAAAGGCUCACCAAGGCGACGAUCCGUAGCAGGUCUGAGAGGAUGAUCUGCCACACUGGAACUGAGACACGGUCCAGACUCCUACGGGAGGCAGCAGUGGGAAUUUUGGACAAUGGGGGCAACCCUGAUCCAGCCAUGCCGCGUGAGUGAAGAAGGCCUCGG
rnacentral:rRNA from 1 species